UCAUACUCUUCUAUUUCAUCAGUUGUUUAUUAUAUUUUUAAUGAUCAAGGUAUUAAUUGACCUAUCAAAUAUAAUAGAUGUAUUCCCCGUGCAACGCGCGGGUAAAAAACACUAGUAUAUAUAUAUAAAAUAUAAGGGGCUUGAUGUCAGGUGAGAUGAGUGAUUUAUGGUGAGAGAUGGGAGAUCAAAUAACCACCACCAUAUUUAAAUUAACGGUUUAGAUUUAAACUUAUUUAAAAUUGAUCACGUGCCUCUGAUUUCUCCAACCUCUUUCAUCUUUCUUCUUCUUUGUUUCACUUGCGCAAAGUUCCAACAAAUUUCCAACACCGUAAACUCACGGCUAAUAUCCCAGCAAAGAUUUCCCUCACAAACCCAGUAGAAACAAGUAAUUAAAACCCAAUUUGAUAAACUAGCACAACCCAAUUUUUGUUUUAGAUUUGAUUAUAGUGACUGCUAAGGAAAUUUGGUUCAUAAGUUCGUUCACUUCAAUCCAGAUCCAGCGGCGGGGCGGAGGCUUUUGGCGGUGGUGGCGGUGCUAGAUCCUCACCUCCACUCCACCAAAAUUGAUUUUUGAAAAAACCCCAAUUUUUCAAUUGAUGUCAAUUCCAUUGAAUCUACUACUCUCAAUUUUUCGCCAAAAUUUUGAAGUUUGAGAAAAGGGGUUCACAUAUUUUUUUUUUAUUUUGCAAAAAAAAUGGAUGAGAAACAGGGUUAUCCAUAAUAUAUAGAAAUAGGAAUUGUUCAGGGUCCCACUAUUCUAGGUGGCAUUUCAACACGUACUCUUCAUCAUAAUCCACGUGGCAUCUUUUCAGAGAAUUUUCCAUUUUCUCUUUUCUUUUUUCUUUUUUUUUUCUUUUUCUCUCAACUUUUCAAGUUUCAUGUUUCAGCAUUUCUUCACACUGUAAUUUCUCUCUCUCAACUCCUUUUGCUGCUAGAGCUGAGCGAGAGCCGAGAGGGGAAAUGAUUUCACACUGUGAUCGCUAAUUAGUUACCUCUCUCUAGAUACAUUUUCAGGAAAUUCAAUCGUUGUUAGUGUUCGUCGUGCUGACUCUCAUCAAGGCAUGAAGAUUGAUAGUCAUUAUUGCAAAUUGUUUUUGAUGGUGUCACCAUCAACUGCUGAAGCUUGAUAGAGAUGGUAAUGGCCAAAAAGGGGGGAAAUAAUUUAAGAAUCAAUUAAAACAUAUAUAAUGGGUUUUCGAAACCCCUAUAUGUAUUACUCUCACCAUUCAUUCUCCACAUACUGUAUAUAGUUUCAACUUCCUUUGAUUAGGCCUCUAGGUAAUUUAUCCUAAUAAUUGUUUUUAAGUCUGAGUUGUUAAAGUGAAUCACUACAGAUUAUUUUUCUAAGAUAUAAAAUACAUUUAUUCUCAUAGUUGAUCAUAUCACGUUGCGAUCCUUGGUAGGAUUCUAGGAACGGAGGGGUUGUUUUGACAUUGGUUCUUUUGUUUGUUUGUAGUUCUAAAUCGAUAUGUAUUGUGUGCCUGCCAAUGUUUUUCUUUUUGUCCAUGACUGCCCAACAUUUGUUUAGAAGUUUGAUAGACUGUCAUGGGCGGGAAGUGAUUAUUGAAGGUUUAAUUAUUGAUUCUUUGCCUCUUUUUUUAAGCUCAUGCUUCAUCUGAAACCAGUUUAGGAUACUGUGUUUUACAAAAUGUGCUGGUAGAAGAUCUUAUCUCCCUUGAUUUCAAAACAUAGCCCACAUAGGUGACUGAAGCAGUUAAAAACAUAGCCCACAUUGAGAUGAAGGAGAUUGUGAAUGUAAAUCUUAAAGUCAAUCAAAAAAAGGAGAGAUUGACAAGGUGAUUUUUUUUAUAUAGUUAGCAAUGCCUGAAUAACUGAAUAACAAAGAGGUUCAAAAAAGUUAGAACUCAAUUCGGUGUUAGGUACACAUUAAUGGAAAUGUGUAUGCCUCUUCUUCUUCCUCAAAUGAACUGAUGCAUUUAUAGCUGAGACAAAACCAAGGAUUUAGUAGAAGCUCCAUGUGUUGCUUAUUUUGAUGCCAAAACCAAGGAUUUAGAUAAGUGAGUAACUUUAAAAAAAGGACUCUCCAAAAACUGGACACACAUUUGUAUCAAAUAAUGAAAAUAUUUUUGUUUCUGUUGUACCUUUAGAUGUUAUUUUAUAUGUUAGACGUUUAGUACCUUCAUAUGCUAAUUUAUAUGUUAUUCAGAUACACCUAUUAAUCUCCUCUCUUUUUCACUAUAUUGAUGCGGAAGCAAUUAAGUAAGAAUUUUGAUGUUUCAAAUAUUGCCAAAGUCUCAUUAAUAUUGGUGGAAGUACUUUUGAAUUUGCAGACUAAUGUACUCACCAAUCUUUAGACAAUCUUUUGUGUACUGGAGGACAUGGAGUUUCAUUCUAUGACAUGCAGACUGAUGCACUCACCUAUCUUUAGUCAAACAAUUGAAUUUGAUCAAAUAUUAAAGAAGUUAAUGUCUGUAGUGUCUUACUAUACUUUUGAUGCAGAGAAAGAGAGUUUGGUGAAGGAACUGCACCAAGUAUCUAACCAGACUGGCCCCUAGAACGGCUAGCAUGGAUUUGUUAAUUUAUCUGGCAUAUGAGAAUUUAGUAUGGAAGACAACUAAAAGACCCAUUUGCCUAAUUUUUGUGACUUUAUAAAUUUUAGCAGAUCUUUCUCAAGUAAUCAUCUUCCCAAGUUUCAGUCUAUGACAUUUAUCCCCAAGCUAUGCUGCUUUUUAGGAUUUUUUUAGAUGUUUUGAGAAGAUCGACUAUGAAACAGAUUGGAUUUGUACUAAGAAUGCUGCUAAGGUUAUCGUGGUGUGUGGAUAAGUUGGACCUUUUUAUUAUUUAUUUAGUAAUUUUAAUUUAA